rnacentral:rRNA from 1 species
UACGGGGGGGGCAAGCGUUGUUCGGAAUUACUGGGCGUAAAGGGCUCGUAGGCGGCCAACUAAGUCAGACGUGAAAUCCCUCGGCUUAACCGGGGAACUGCGUCUGAUACUGGAUGGCUUGAGUUCGGGAGAGGGAUGCGGAAUUCCAGGUGUAGCGGUGAAAUGCGUAGAUAUCUGGAGGAACACCGGUGGCGAAGGCGGCAUCCUGGACCGAUACUGACGCUGAGGCGCGAAAGCGUGGGGAGCAAACAGG